rnacentral:rRNA from 1 species
CCGCAGGUGGCUUGCCGCAUCUUCUGUUAAAUCUUCGGGCCCAACCCGGAGGCUGCGGAAGAGAUGGGUAAGCUAGAGAUCGGAAGAGGCAAACGGAAUUGCUGGUGUAGGGGUUAAAUCCAUUAAUAUCAGCAAGAACACCAAAUGCGAAGGCAGUUUGCUAGGACGAAUCUGACACUCAUGGACGAAAGCGUGGGGAGCGAAUGGGAUUAGAUACCCCAGUAGUCCACGCCGUAAACGCUGAAUGCUAAGCAUUGGGAGUAUCGACCCUCUCAGUGCUGUUAAUUUAAGGUAACCCGUUAAGCAUUCCGCCUGGGGAGUACGAGCGCAAGCUUAAAACUCAAAGGAAUAGACGGGGACCCGCACAAGCGGUGGAGCAUGUGGUUUAAUUCGACGAUAAGCGAGGAACCUCACCAAGGUUUGACAUGUAGCUGCAAGGUCUGGAAACAGAUCCGCCUUCGAGGGUGCUACACAGAUGCUGCAUGGUUGUCGUCAGCUCGUGUCGUGAGAUGUACCGUUAAGUCGGGAAACGAGCGCAACCCUUAUCCUAUGUUUUAUAUGUCAUAGGAGACUGCCCGUUUUAAAUGGGAGGAAGGUGGGAUGACGUCAAAUCAGCAUGGUUCUUACACCUUGGGCAACACACGUGCUACAAUGGGAGGUACAAAGGGACGCCAAACCGCGAGGUGGAGCAAAUCCCUAAAAACCUUCCUCAGUUCGGAUUGAAGGCUGCAAUUCGCCUUCAUGAAGCUGGAAUCGCUAGUA